UCGGGGAAGCUCAGGUGGCCGCCACAGCCUCUUGCCCUCUGACCUGCAGGUAUCGGGAGAUCCAUAGCUAAGAAGCCUGGACACCCGGGAAGCUGGGAAAUGGACAUGAAGAUUGUCUUCACCCAACUCCAGCGUCUGUUCCUUGGAGACCCAUUGCUGGUCAGCCAGUUGGAUGCUGAUAUUGAGAAGAAAAAACAGAAAUGAUUUCUGACAUCUGGAUUCUCUCAGACUUGUGAAGGGGGAAAAAGCUGUUCCAAAGGACAAGGAAAACCCACUGCAGUGAGGGGGCGCAAGAAUCUGCAAAGUCAAGCCACUUGGGGCACCCAGUGGGGCACAGUGUGGUGGCUCCUGGGCAAGGCGGGAAGGUGGUCAGUGAGCAGUAUGGAAACAGAGGAAUGUCCCAAGUGAUAGGACGGCCUGACUUGGCACUUGAGUCAGAUUUGUCUGUGUUCCAAUCAGCAUUGCCACUUCCUGGGUUUUACACCUUGAAAAAUUUUUUUCACUUAAUUCAACCUUAGUUUUUUAUUAACUGUCAAUUGCGUUUUAACAGUAGAGUUUCAAAGGUAAGAAAAUGUUUAAGAGGUGGAUUUCAGAAAAGACAUUACAUAUAUAGUCAAAUAUUCACUUGUUAAAAAUUCUGAUUUACCUUUUUCUUCACUAGAGUAUAGUAAGUUUGUCAGGCCUGUUCUUUUUUAGGGGGUGAUUUUAAACAGAAU
rnacentral:lncRNA from 1 species